CCCUUAGGUGACGUUGCUAACCACACCCACCCGUAGAGCCGCCUCGUUGGUGAACGUUGUAGGCUACUGAGGCGGUGUAGAUGGGAUCCAGACUCUAACUUCGAAAAUAAGCAUCAUGAGGCAGAAGGUCUGGUGCCGACUAAGUAGUGUAGGCUGAGCCUUCAGGACAGCAGCAGAUUCGUCCUUUUAAUCAUCUCUGGAGUCUCCAUCACCCCUCCGGCAGCAUUCACAGUACAGGCAGACAGGAGGUAUGGACCAGAUUCCAGGUGCUCUCAUCUGCACUGCUAGCUAUUCCCCCGGUAAUAGACCGCAUGCUCUGCAGCAUGUCUCCAGGGUCCAGCCAGUCCACGCAGAACAAGGUGAAACAGAUCAAUUACUGGCACGGAUGUUUCUUCCUCAGUCUGGUAAACAGGCUGAAGAAGGGGUACAGCUACUAAGAAUGAUAAUGAAUUAAUCAGUUUGUCUGACUGUUGGUUAGUUGUAAGUUACUUAAAGCUAUUGUUCUUGCUGUGUAAUA